CAAAAAGUAAGCACUUUCAGAGCCCGACCCUUCAAGGAGCUGCUGCUGCAGAAGGAGCCCUGUCCCCGGAAGCUCGCUGUCACGAGGGGCCUCUGACAUCUCCUUCUUGAGAGAAAGGUCGCCUGGCCUGGGUGAGGUCGUAGUUCCCGCGACCCCGUGCUUGCAAGUACUGGCUGCCUCCUACUAUAGUGUAAGCUCCAGGAAGGAUCCCGCGGGGGACCUGACAGCUCACGGUCCUGGCCGACAACCGCCCUGGGAGCGGAAUGGAUGGAGCCCGCAGUCGUCCCGGCGCACUGGGCAAGCUCUGCUCCCACUGUGGCAGGCCAGAUCUCCAUUAGCAACCAGAGCAGCUCUCACCAACGCCUCACUGUCAUUCUGAUGCAUGUAUAAGUUAAACAUUGGAGAAACUGGUGCCUUAGGAGAAAGGCUAGAAUGUAAAGACAAGUCCAUUAGGAUCCCGCCUGAGCUUUUUCAACCCCUAGAGUUUA
rnacentral:lncRNA from 1 species